GAUGAACGCUGCCAGAAUGCUUAACACAUGCAAGUCAACUGUGGCGGACGGGUUAGUAACGCGUAAAGAACUUGCCUCACAGUUAGGGACAACAUUUGGAAACGAAUGCUAAUACCUGAUACUGGGCGAGAGCUUUGCGUCCCAUUAGCUAGUUGGAGAGGUAACGGCUCACCAAGGCGAUGAUGGGUAGCCGGCCUGAGAGGGUGAUCGGCCACAAGGGGACUGAGACACGGCCCUUACUACUACGGGAGGAAGCAGUGGGGAAUAUUGGACAAUGGACCAAAGUCUGAUCCAGCAAUGCGGUGUGCACGAUGAAGUUUUCGGAAUGUAAAGUGCUUUCAGUUGGGAAGCGGUACCAACAGAAGAAGUGACGGCUAAAUACGUGCCAGCAGCCGCGGUAAUAC
rnacentral:rRNA from 1 species